GCUGGGUGUGAUGGUGCGCGCCUGUAGUCCCAGCCACUUGGGUGGCUGAGGCUGGGGGAUCGCUUGAGCCCAGGAGUUCUGGGCUGUAGUGUGCUAUGCCGACUGGGUGUCUGCACAAAGUUCAGCAUCAGUAGGGUGACCUCCCGGGAGCGGGGUGCCACCAGGUUGCCUAAGGAGGGGUGAACCGGCCCAGGUCGGAAAUGGAGCAGGUAAAAAAUGUUUAAUUAAACUGAAUUUUAGGUGUCAGGUUGACUGUAAAUUUUGUAAAAAAUUAAAUUGAUUUAUCUUUAA
rnacentral:SRP_RNA from 1 species